UAGGGAAUCUUCGGCAAUGGACGAAAGUCUGACCGAGCAACGCCGCGUGAGUGAAGAAGGUUUUCGGAUCGUAAAACUCUGUUGUUAGAGAAGAACAAGGACGUUAGUAACUGAACAUCCCCUGACGGUAUCUAACCAGAAAGCCACGGCUAACUACGUGCCAGCAGCCGCGGUAAUACGUAGGUGGCAAGCGUUGUCCGGAUUUAUGGGCGUAAAGCGAGCGCAGGCGGUUUCUUAAGUCUGAUGUGAAAGCCCCCGGCUCAACCGGGGAGGGUCAUUGGAAACUGGGAGACUUGAGUGCAGAAGAGGAGAGUGGAAUUCCAUGUGUAGCGGUGAAAUGCGUAGAUAUAUGGAGGAACACCAGUGGCGAAGGCGGCUCUCUGGUCUGUAACUGACGCUGAGGCUCGAAAGCGUGGGGAGCAAACAGG
rnacentral:rRNA from 1 species